UUGAAAGGGAAACGAUUGAAGUCAGUCAUGCUGGUGGGAAUCAACUUAGGGGANACUCUAGGUGCACUUCUUCGCUUGGCAGGUUAACGUCGAUCUUGAAUGCCAUAAAAUAAUUGGGGGAAGGUAGCUCCUUCGGGAGUGUUAUAGCCCUUGAUAGAUGUGAUGUUUGGGGUCGAGGAUUGCAACGGAUACCCUUUGGGGCUAGCCGCCUGAUCUCUAAUCGGUGUUGGGUUACGGAUAGCAUGCUGACCGUGAUCUAAUUACUGGUUAAAAGGUUAGAGCGUGCAUAAAUUCGUUAAGGAUGUUGACGUA
rnacentral:rRNA from 1 species